rnacentral:lncRNA from 1 species
UCCAUGGCUGUUGUUGCCUUGACUGCCAUCACGAUUUCCUGGGACAUAGCUGCUUUGCAAAGCUUGUUCUUGGUUACUGCUACUCGCCGUCUGGUUCAUUCUCUGCUCAUGAGAACUUAACGAACCCAACAACUGGUCUGCCGACAUAGUUGUUGUAUCUUGACCUUCUUCAAUUGCAGCUACUACGUAGUUAAAUCUUGUGCUCAAAGAGCGUAAGAUUUUUUCU